GCCCGGCGGCCUCCUCUUCCACCGCCCCCCAACCACCACCCCCCCGCCCUCCCCGGUGUCUGUGUUUCUCUCUCUGGUCGGAGGCGGCGGUAAUGGCGGAUGGUGGGUUGUGGCGCCGGCGACGGCUGCUGUGAGGGACGAUGAGUUCCUCCUUCGUGCCGAACGGGGCCAGCCUGGAAGAUUGUCACUGUAACCUCUUCUGCCUGGCUGACUUGACGGGAAUUAAGUGGAAAAGAUAUGUAUGGCAAGGCCCAACUUCUGCCCCUAUUCUGUUUCCGGUGACAGAGGAAGACCCCAUUUUGAGCAGUUUUAGUCGCUGCCUUAAGGCAGAUGUGCUUGGUGUUUGGCGGCGAGAUCAAAGACCUGGAAGAAGAGAAUUGUGGAUAUUUUGGUGGGGUGAAGACCCCAAUUUUGCUGACCUUAUUCACCAUGACUUGUCAGAAGAGGAAGAUGGAGUGUGGGAGAAUGGACUUUCCUACGAAUGCCGUACUUUGCUUUUCAAAGCAGUUCACAAUCUGUUGGAACGGUGUUUAAUGAACCGGAACUUUGUACGUAUUGGCAAGUGGUUUGUAAAGCCUUAUGAAAAAGAUGAAAAACCUAUAAAUAAAAGUGAACACUUGUCCUGCUCUUUCACCUUUUUCUUGCAUGGAGACAGCAAUGUUUGUACCAGUGUGGAAAUUAACCAACAUCAACCUGUAUACCUUCUUAGUGAAGAGCAUAUCACCCUUGCUCAACAAUCUAAUAGUCCAUUUCAAGUUAUCUUAAGCCCAUUUGGACUAAAUGGCACUCUCACGGGACAGGCAUUCAAGAUGUCUGACUCAGCUACAAAAAAAUUGAUUGGUGAAUGGAAACAAUUCUAUCCUAUCUCAUCUUGUUUGAAGGAGAUGUCUGAAGAAAAACAGGAAGAUAUGGAUUGGGAAGAUGAUUCUUUAGCUGCGGUUGAAGUUCUUGUUGCUGGUGUCCGAAUGAUCUACCCAGCAUGCUUUGUUCUAGUCCCUCAGUCAGACAUUCCUACUCCUAGCUCUGUGGGAUCCUCUCACUGUUCAGCUUCUUGCUUGGGUGUCCACCAAGUGCCUCCUUCCACAAGAGAUCCUGCUAUGUCCUCGGUUACUCUUACACCACCUACAUCUCCUGAGGAAGUCCAAACGGUUGAUCCUCAGUCUGCUCAGAAAUGGAUCAAAUUUUCUUCAGUUUCUGAUGGUUUCAACUCUGAUAGUACUAGUCACCAUGGAGGAAAAAUACCCAGAAAAUUAGCAAAUCAUGUGGUGGAUAGAGUUUGGCAAGAAUGCAACAUGAACAGAGCACAGAAUAAGAGGAAGUAUUCGGCUUCAUCAGGUGGUCUGUGUGAAGAAGAGACAGCUGAUAAAAUAGCAUCCUGGGAUUUUGUUGAAGCCACACAAAGAACAAAUUGCAGCUGUUUGAGGCACAAAAAUCUCAAACCAAGAAAUCCUGGACAAGGACAGACGCCAUCUUUAAGUCAGCAACAACAAGUACUUCCUAAGCACAAGACCAAUGAAAAGCAAGAAAAGAGUGAAAAACCACAGAAACGCCCCUUGACUCCUUUUCACCAUCGUGUAUCUGUUAGUGAUGAUGUUGGCAUGGACACAGAUUCAGCCAGCCAAAGACUUGUGAUCUCUGCCCCAGACAGUCAAGUGAGAUUUUCAAACAUCCGAACUAAUGAUGUAGCAAAGACUCCUCAGAUGCAUGGCACUGAAAUGGCAAAUUCACCUCAACCACCCCCACUUAGUCCUCACCCAUGUGAUGUGGUUGAUGAAGGAGUGACUAAAACACCUUCAACUCCUCAGAGUCAGCAUUUUUAUCAAAUGCCAACACCGGAUCCCUUGGUUCCUUCUAAACCAGUGGAAGAUAGGAUAGACAGUUUAUCCCAGUCUUUCCCAGCUCAAUUCCAGGAAGCUGUAGAACCUACAGUAUAUGUUGGUACAGCAGUAAACUUGGAAGAAGAUGAAGCUAAUAUAGCCUGGAAGUAUUACAAGGUCCCAAAGAAAAAAGAUUUAGAGUUUUUACCACCUCAACUUCCAAGUGAUAAGUUCAAGGAUGAUCCAGUUGGACCUUUUGGACAGGAAAGUGUAACAUCAGUUACAGAGUUAAUGGUGCAAUGUAAGAAACCUUUAAAAGUUUCUGAUGAAUUAGUGCAGCAAUAUCAAAUUAAAAAUCAGUAUCUUGCAGCAAUAGCAUCUGAUUCAGAACAAGAACCUAAAAUUGAUCCAUAUGCAUUUGUUGAAGGGGAUGAGGAAUUCCUUUUCCCUGAUAAGAAAGAUAGACAAAAUAAUGAGAGAGAAGCUGGAAAAAAACACAAGGUAGAAGAUGGGCCAUCUAAUGUAACAGUGUUAUCACAUGAAGAAGAUGCUAUGUCAUUAUUUAGUCCCUCUAUCAAGCAAGAUGCUCCACGAGCUACUAAUCAUGCCCGUCCUCCAUCAACCAGUUUGAUUUAUGACUCAGAUCUGGCUGUCUCUUAUACUGACCUUGAUAAUCUUUUUAACUCUGAUGAAGAUGAAUUGACGCCUGGAUCUAAAAAAUCAGCAAAUGGAUCAGAUGAUAAAUCCAGCUGCAAGGAGUCAAAGACAGGAAAUCUGGACCCGUUAUCUUGCAUAAGCACUGCAGAUCUUCACAAGAUGUAUCCCACACCACCAUCAUUGGAACAGCAUAUUAUGGGAUUUUCCCCAAUGAAUAUGAAUAAUAAAGAAUAUGGUAGUAUGGAUACAACACCUGGAGGAACUGUUUUAGAAGGAAAUAGUUCUAGUAUAGGAACACAGUUCAAAAUUGAGGUCGAUGAAGGAUUCUGUAGCCCCAAGCCUUCUGAAAUUAAAGAUUUUUCUUAUGUCUAUAAGCCUGAAAAUUGUCAAGUUCUAGUGGGAUGUUCCAUGUUUGCACCUCUAAAAACUCUACCAAGCCAGUGUCUGCCUCCUAUCAAAUUGCCAGAAGAGUGUGUUUACCGUCAGAGUUGGACUCUUGGAAAAUUGGAAUUGCUUCCUUCAGGGCCUACAAUGCCAUUCAUCAAAGAGGGUGAUGGAAGUACUAUGGAUCAAGAAUAUGGCCCUGCUUAUACACCUCAAACUCAUACUUCUUUUGGGAUGCCUCCGAGCAGUGCACCUCCUAGUAACAGUGGAGCAGGAAUCCUUCCUUCUCCAUCUACCCCCAGGUUUCCAACUCCAAGGACUCCAAGGACUCCAAGGACUCCUCGUGGAGCUGGUGGACCUGCUAGUGCUCAAGGUUCAGUCAAAUAUGAAAAUUCAGAUUUAUAUUCACCAGCUUCCACCCCAUCCACUUGCAGACCCCUUAAUUCUGUUGAACCUGCAACUGUUCCUUCCAUCCCUGAAGCACACAGUCUUUAUGUAAACCUCAUUCUUUCAGAAUCAGUUAUGAAUUUGUUUAAAGACUGUAACUUUGAUAGUUGCUGUAUAUGUGUCUGCAACAUGAAUAUCAAGGGUGCCGAUGUUGGAGUUUACAUUCCGGAUCCAACGCAGGAAGCACAGUAUAGGUGUACCUGUGGCUUCAGUGCUGUCAUGAACAGAAAAUUUGGAAACAAUUCAGGAUUGUUUCUUGAAGAUGAACUAGAUAUCAUAGGACGCAACACAGAAUGUGGCAAAGAAGCAGAAAAACGUUUUGAAGCUCUCAGGGCUACUUCUGCAGAACAUGUUAAUGGAGGACUAAAGGAAUCUGAAAAAUUGCCUGAUGAGUUGAUAUUAUUGCUACAAGAUCAGUGCACUAAUUUAUUUUCACCCUUUGGAGCUGCAGACCAAGAUCCUUUCCCCAAAAUUGGUGUUAUUAACAAUUGGGUACGUGUUGAAGAGCGGGACUGUUGCAAUGACUGCUACCUUGCAUUAGAGCAUGGACGUCAGUUCAUGGAUAACAUGUCAGGAGGAAAAGUUGAUGAAGCACUUGUGAAAAGUUCUUGCUUACAUCCCUGGUCCAAAAGAAAUGAUGUUAGUAUGCAGUGCUCACAAGAUAUACUUCGAAUGCUCCUAUCUCUUCAGCCAGUUCUUCAGGAUGCUAUUCAGAAAAAAAGAACAGUAAGGCCUUGGGGAGUUCAGGGUCCUCUCACUUGGCAACAAUUUCAUAAAAUGGCUGGCCGAGGCUCUUAUGGAACUGAUGAAUCCCCAGAACCACUGCCAAUCCCCACAUUUUUAUUGGGUUAUGAUUUUGAUUUUCUGGUGCUUUCUCCAUUUGCUCUCCCUCAUUGGGAGAGACUUAUGCUGGAACCCUAUGGAUCUCAAAGAGAUAUAGCCUAUGUUGUACUGUGUCCAGAAAAUGAAGCCUUGUUAAAUGGAGCCAAAAGCUUUUUUAGAGAUCUUACGGCAAUAUAUGAGUCCUGUCGAUUGGGUCAACAUAGGCCUAUUUCUCGACUAUUGACGGAUGGGAUCAUGAGAGUUGGAUCUACUGCAUCAAAGAAACUAUCAGAAAAGUUGGUAGCAGAAUGGUUUUCUCAGGCAGCUGAUGGUAACAAUGAAGCAUUUUCUAAACUCAAGCUUUAUGCACAAGUCUGCAGAUAUGACCUAGGUCCUUAUCUUGCUUCCCAGCCAUUGGACAGCUCUCUACUUUGCCAGCCAAAUUUAGUUGCCCCUACAAGUCAAUCUCUGAUUACUCCACCUCAGAUGACAAGUGCUGGAAAUGCUAAUACUCCGUCUGCCACCUUAGCGUCUGCAGCAAGCAGCACUAUGACAAUGACUUCAGGUGUUGCCAUGUCUUCUUCAGUUGCCACAGCUAAUUCAACUAUGACCACAACUUCAGCUUCAUCUUCAUCAUCCUCCAACUUGAAUAGUGGAAUAUCAUCAAAUAAACUACCUUCAUUUCCACCUUUUAGCAGUAUGACCAGUAGUGCUGCAGGAUCCAUGUCUUCACAAGUGACUGCAGUUCAGAAUGGCCAGCUAGGAGGGCAGCCAUCAUCAGCUUUACAAACAGCUGGGAUUUCUGGAGAGUCAUCUUCGCUUCCCACUCAGCCACAUCCUGAUGUGUCUGAAAGCACAAUGGAUCGGGAUAAAGUGGGCAUCCCCACAGAUGGUGAUUCACAUGCAAUCACUUAUCCACCUGCAAUUGUUGUUUAUAUAAUUGAUCCUUUUACAUAUGAAAAUAAAGAUGAGAGCACUAAUUCUUCCAAUGUGUGGACUUUGGGGUUACUUCGAUGCUUUCUGGAAAUGGUCCAGACUCUUCCUCCUCAUAUUAAGAGUACUGUUUCUGUACAGAUUGUUCCUUGUCAGUACCUGUUGCAACCUGUGAAGCAUGAAGAUAGACAAAUCUAUACCCAGCAUUUAAAAUCCCUAGCUUUUUCGGCCUUUACUCAGUGUCGGAGACCACUUCCAACAUCAACCAAUGUGAAAACAUUGACUGGUUUUGGUCCAGGUUUAGCCAUGGAAACUGCUCUUAAAAGUCCUGAUAGACCAGAGUGUAUUCGACUUUAUACACCUCCUUUUAUUCUGGCUCCAGUGAAAGAUAAACAGACAGAACUAGGAGAAACAUUUGGAGAAGCUGGACAGAAAUAUAAUGUACUUUUUGUGGGCUACUGUUUGUCACAUGAUCAAAGAUGGAUUCUUGCAUCUUGCACAGAUCUAUAUGGAGAACUUUUAGAAACUUGUAUUAUUAACAUUGAUGUCCCAAAUAGGGCUCGUCGGAAAAAAGGAUCUGCCAGAAGAUUUGGUCUACAGAAACUUUGGGAGUGGUGCUUAGGACUUGUACAAAUGAGUUCAUUACCGUGGAGAGUUGUGAUUGGCCGUCUAGGAAGGAUUGGUCAUGGAGAAUUAAAAGAUUGGAGCUGUUUGUUGAGUCGUCGGAACUUGCAGUCUCUAAGUAAAAGACUCAAAGACAUGUGUAGAAUGUGUGGUAUAUCUGCUGCAGACUCUCCCAGCAUUCUCAGUGCUUGCUUGGUAGCAAUGGAACCCCAAGGUUCUUUUGUUAUUAUGCCAGAUUCUGUAUCAACUGGUUCUGUAUUUGGAAGAAGCACCACUCUAAACAUGCAGACAUCUCAGCUAAAUACUCCACAGGAUACAUCAUGUACUCAUAUACUUGUGUUUCCUACUUCAGCUUCUGUGCAAGUAGCUUCAGCUACUUAUACCACUGAAAAUUUGGACUUAGCUUUUAAUCCCAACAAUGGACCCCUGUGAUUACAUUGGACCCACCUGGAUAAGCCAGAAUAACCUCCCCAUCUCAAGAUCCUUAGCUUGAUCACAUCUGCAAAGUUCUUUAUGAUGGAGCUGAUGGAAUGGGUAUCUUUGAUUUAUUAGACACAGCAGAUGAUCUUGACCCUGAUAUUAUUAAUAUUCUUCCUGCAUCUCCAACGGGAUCACCUGUUCAUUCUCCAGGAUCUCAUUACCCCCAUGGAGGUGAUGCUGGCAAGGGUCAGGGUACUGAUCGGCUACUUUCAACAGAAUCUCAUGAUGAAGUAACUAAUAUUCUUCAGCAACCAUUGGCCCUUGGUUACUUUGUAUCAACUGCCAAAGCGGGUCCGUUACCUGACUGGUUCUGGUCAGCAUGUCCUCAAGCACAAUAUCAGUGUCCCCUUUUUCUUAAGGUAUUGCCUUUUUUUGGGGGGGGGGAGUUCCUAAGUAAUGCUAAUUUUAAGGCCUAAGAAAUAUAGAAGUAGCUUUUUGAAGUCUUGUAGCUUUUGUCUCAGGUCUUAAAUGCAUUGCCACAUACAGCUAGACAAAAUCACAAAGAGAAUGAUCUACAUAAGAAACAACUCUAUAAUUUUUAAAUUCAUAGGAAGUUUAAACUUUAAGUCAAAUUUCUGGGACCUUACUCUUAAUUAUUUUCAGCUGCACGUGUAGAAAGACAUUUAGACCUGGGAGAAACCUUAUAUUACCUUUUAUCUAACCUUUUCAUUUUCUUGGUGAGCGUAUAAAGUUUGGAAAAACUCACUUGUCCAAAGUCAUAAAUUGGUAGUAGACUCAAGAUAAAAACCUAGAUCUUUUAGUGAUUAUAUAAUGUUAUUCUUUGAAUUAUAUCAUACCUCACUCCCCAUUAUUUUGAGAAUUAAAGGUUUCAUAAUUAUUGUAAGAAUAUUUGAUAUUUAGAUCUGUUUACUACCUCCUUAAAAAAGCUUUCUACCUUUGUGUAAAUUGCCUUGCUAAAACUAUUGAAUGGUUUUCAAGUAUAGAAAUACUUAGACUCAUAGUGAUUUAUUUUAUCAAAAUAAAUUCAUUAGCAGUGAUGUAACAAGGUUGAGACAAAUCAUAAAUGGUAAAAUGAGAUGUGAAAACUCUUACCUAGAGUUUGUUACUGCUGCUGCUACUAUUCCAAAAUAACAAAUUCAGAUCUGAUUUCACUUAUAUAAAUCCACCAGAAGUUGACUGAUUUAUUCCAUAAAUCAUGUUAAGUACUUGCCUCCUGAUUUUUCUUUGUAGGGUAAAAGUCAGAUAGUAUCCUUUAGUUUUUUAGGGUUAUAUUUUAAUGGGUACUUGAACCAAUAAGCUUGUUACUAUCUUUUAAGACUGUUGCUGUGAAAUCUUGAUACCCUUGGCUCACAUACCAUUGAGUCAGUGACAUUUGAGAUUAAGCCAUGAACUUCUGUAGCACAUUCAUGAAGAUUACAACAACUAUUGAUCUGAAUUGAGUAUUAAUGAGAUAAUAAAUAUAUUUAGAGAGUGUCAGCCAAGGUAGUAGUUUUAGCAUAUGACUUUUGUUCCCCUUCUAAAAUAUGUACAAUGAUCUGUACAAAGCUUAUUAUAAGAACAUAUUCCCCAAAGGGUUUCUGCAUAAUAGUCCUUGGAGUUUCUACAAAACAAAGGGUUCCUUGGUCCUUUGGGAAGUCCUGGACGUGCUUUCUGUACCCUUUUUGUUGUUACAAUACAUGCAUGCACAUUAAAAGCUCUGAAAACAGCAGCGAAUAACAUUGUUUACCUACCAUUUCCCAGACUUACUUUAAUACACAGGAAGACAAUUGUGUAACACCUAUUAAUAGUUCAUGACCUUAGUGUUUCACAGAACAAAAUUUUUAAGAAACACCACUUUACAAAAAGUCCAAGGGACUAUCCAGAUUCUUUUCUACUCAAUAUUUAUUUGCAGAGAGGAUAGUGUAAAGUGGGCAUUCACCCUCAGAUACAGUGUAACAAGAUUAGGACUUCUGGUCUGAAUUACCAGGCCUCUUUGCACCUCCACGUGCCUUCAGUGCAAUCUGACGAGCUGCUUCACAGUAAACACUCCCACCCACUUGACUCAAAUCAGACUUCAGAUGUUCUCAGGUUUGUUUUGGAACAGUACAAUGCACUCUCCUGGCUAACCUGUGACCCUGCAAUCCAGGACAGACGCUCAUGUCUCCCAAUUCAUUUUGUGGUGCUGAAUCAGUUAUAUAACUUUAUCAUGAAUAUGCUGUGAUCUUCAUUUGAUGGAACUGUGCAAGAAAAGAGCAAGGAAAAAAGAUACUUCGCUGCAAGAUUAAGUUACAAUUAUCUUCUCAGUGAAAGUCAUUUGUGAUGCGGUCUAAUUCUUAUUACUUCAACAAAUAUUGUUUUGACUUGGGGGGAGGGGCUAUAACCCUGUUAUUUUUCAUUGACUAUACUGAACUCUUUAGGAUGAUGACUGAUCAUACAAAACGUAUUAUAACAUUUUCGUAGCAAAAUUAACCUUUUUUUUCCAGUCACAGUAUUUGUGAAAAGUAAUGAGCCAUAGUACCCAGUCAUGUUAAAUGAAUAUUAAAAGCAUGGAGAAGGAAACAUGAGGAGCAAUGAAUUUCAACAUAUGGCUUCAGAACAUCAAGAUGUUCUUGUAUUGGAUUAUAGUAUCUAGUAUUCAAAAAUGCCUGCAUCUCUUAUUUAUUGUAAGUUUUUAAAUGUAUAAAUUGUCUUAUAUUUCUUAACCUCUUUUAUAAAAAUUUUCCUAGAAGGUUUAUACUGCCUUCUUGCUUUAAAGCAAUUGGUCUAAAAUAUAUGUAAUCGUCUUAAUUAAAAAGUUACAGUAGGGUUGCUUUUAGAGUAUUAUUUUUUUGUAAGGGGUGGGUGGGACAGUAAAUUUGUAUUGUCUUGAUGUACAGUUUAAUGGGGAUAGAGGGGGAAUAAUGUCCAUACCAUUGUGUGUGGAGGAUUUACAGCUAAGCUGUAGUUGCAGAGUACAUGUACAGUAAUGAAGUUCACUGUGUUUAUAAAUUGAAAAGGUACCGGGUCUUAACAACAUUUUAUAUAUCAAUCACACCUUUACAGAAUAACAUGAUGGCAAUAUACAAGUGAUAUUGUUAGGUGGUUUAACUUAGAAUAAAAUGAGAAUUCUUCAGUUAUAUUUUGUACUAUGGUUUAGGGCUAUGACUAAUAUUUCAGGCCAUUUCCAGUGAAAGAAACUUAGUUUUACAAGAAAAACAUUUGCUACUGAAUGCUUAAACUAAUUUUGGUGUUUAAUGUUACAUGCUUAAAUUUUUUUUUGUUUGUUUUAACAGUGGCACAUCUAGGCAUGGGAAUAUUAUUAAUUAUGAAAAUUAUCUUCAGGAUCUGCUAUAAGGUUGAAAUUUAGCCCAGCUCUAGGCAUUUUACAAAUUAUUUUAAGAGCAGAAACUCUUGAUUGUUUGACUUUUUUUUUUUUUUUUAAAUUAAAGAUUGGGAAUGUGUGUGAGAGUAUGCAUAUGUAUGGGUGUGUGUGUGCAAUCAAACUGUGGUGUAAAUAGAUUCUCAGUGAAUUCUGGUAUUCAGACUAUUCCACUAGUUAAAGAACCAUUUUCUAAACAUAACCUGUUUCCUUUUGCCUUUUUUAUUUAUUUAAUUUUCUUGGUUUGGAGAUGGCAGUCCCAAACACCAGAGUCUGUACUUUUCUAUAACACAGCUCAGAUUAAGGCAGGGCAUAUGCCAAGGAGGUUCUCACCUCCCUAAAGAAGGGACUUGAAUUUUAGGGACUUUAAUUCACCCCUUCCUUCAGUACAGCUUUCUCUCUUCUUGUUUGCACAUGCCAAGAUAACUGCUUUUAUGCAGGCUUUACCCCCUUAAAAAAUCCUUUCUACAGUGCUGCUCACAAGAGAGUCCAAGUUAGCCUCCUACCUGUGUUGUUGACUUGAAUUCACAGUCACCAAGUCUACCUAUCUUUCUUGGAAGCAGUCUAGCUAAAUUCCAAAUUUGUAUGUUCACUAAUUCUCUACAAAGACAAAAUGGUUGUAUUUACAAAACUGUAAUUCGGUAUGAUUUUUUUUUUUAAAUUGAAACUUGUUUUGUAAAUAUUAUAUGCUUAUUAGCUUAAAUAUCAUUUUAUUAUGAAUAAUAUAACUUCUUCAAAAUGUGUAUAUUAAAACAUUAGCCAGUCUUGUUUUUCCUAUAAAGAGAACACAAUUGGUGAUAAAAGGUUUUCAAUCAUUUCUUCAAAAUUAUAAUUCAAUCCCAAUGGUCAGCAUAUUUUGAAGUUAAAAUUUAAAGAUCAUAUUCUGCAUUUGUUUUUAAAUUAUGCUAACACAUACAGAUUAUGUUGGCAUGUUUUGUUCUGGACCUAAAAAAAAACUUGUCUGAGAUUUGAGGGGAAAGAUGCUUAUUUAGAAUUGCUAUAAAAACAGUAUCCUUGUUUAUAUAUUUUAGCUCAUUAGUGACUUUUAAAAAUAAAAGCUAUGUUCUCAGUUGUUGAAAAAUCACUAGCCUAUAGUAACCACACCUCUGUUUGAAAACCAGUUUUUAAAGUAUUCCCUGACAGUUUCUUUGAUAUGGAGCCAUAAGGAAGGAACCCAUUAUAUAAUUCCUUUUUAUCUGGGAAUCAGGGAAUAGUCCUCAAAUAUAUAGGAUUUACUGAUAAGAUUUUUUUUUCCUUCCUUUCACAUAUAAAUUCACAGUCAAACAAAAUUAUUAAGUAGCCAUUAGAAAAGGUCAGGAGACUUAUUUCAGAAAAAAAAAAUUAAGUCUUUCAUGCAGGAUAAUGGAUCUGACUAAUGUAUUGUCACAGACAAGUAUGAGUAGUUUUUUUUUUGUUUGUUUGUUUAAAUAGGUAAGCAAAAUAGUAUAUACUUUAUUACCAGUUGAUCACCAGUACCUUGACUUCUUUGUUACAGUGCUAAUGUCUGUUUUUGUGCAGUUAUCCAUUACAAAGCAGGGUGGAAGUUCAGUAUUUUGGCAUUUUAAAAAAGAUUAGUUAUAUAAUGUCUGCUUCCAGCCAGUGAGAAACAUCUAGCCAUACCUUUCUUAUGCAAGCCAUUCAGUUAUCAGGACUGUGAAUUAACACUGUAUGAAUAAAUUUCUGUACACCUUAUUGUUUGGCCAGAAGGCCACCAAGUGUACUUAUAUGUAAUCCUUAAAUUUUAAAGUAGCUGUAAUUUUUAAAUCUUUCUAACUUUUCUUAAACCACUAAAAUUAAGCUCUUAACUAUUUAGUCAACUAUCCUCAGCUGUAUUCGUACUCAAUUGUCAGUAUGGCACAGAUUACUGUAUUAAAAUAUUCUCCUUUCGUCUUCAUUCAUAUUUACCUUCUGAGGUAAUUUUUUAACUUAAUGUGUUACUACAAAGAUUUGCAGAUCUUUAAUCAAGCACUAUGUUAAUACUGUAAUAUCAAAAUACUAUGUUGCAUUAUUUAAAAUGUUCAAAUUGAAUACAUUAAAAGGAAGUUUUUAAAUGCUGUUGCAUCAUAUAAUUUGCUACUCAUUCACUAUGGCAUCGCAUAUCAGUCUAUUAAUACAUUUAAUGUUGCAUGAGUGAUGUUUUGGUCUGGGUUUCCUCUUAAGAUUUUAGUUUGUCUAAAUUAAGGAAAAAUGUUUUUGACAUAUAUAUAUAUAUAUAUAUAUAUUUUUUUUUUUUUUGGUCUCUCUCCACCCCUCAAAAAAUCAGCUAGAAAUCUUAACCUUUCGGUUUUUCUUGGUGUUUUAAUGGGCCCAGAACUGUUGGUUUAAAUUUUUAUAUAUGUUUUCUUAUUUGUGGAGUAUUAAUUUAAAAACUGGAUUUGGGACCUAAAAUACUCCUCAGGUUGAUGUAUUCAUGAAGUUUUAAAGUAGCUUUAGUUUUCAAAGUAAACUGGAUCUGUGGACCUUAAAGUUACUGAGUUUAAACUACAAAUUGUAAUGUCAUUACUGGACAUGUCAGCAUCAACUCUCUCAGAAUAGCUUGGUCACUUUAUGAAGGGGCGUUUUAAAGUUGUUGUUUAGCAGUGACAUUUAAUAUGGUCCAAUUGCUUUUUUUUUUUUUAAGUGACAAAAAAAGAAUAAGGAACAAACACUAUUGCUGCCGAAUGCCAUAACACUGAGUUGUACAAAUUGUGAUUGAGGAAAUGAAAAGGUUUAUACUUUUUAAAAAAAACAAAAACAAAAAAAACUUCAAAUGGAAUAAAUUAUUCAUGAAGCCUUCA